rnacentral:rRNA from 1 species
UAAUGAUGGCGGCGCUGUCUCCAGCAGAGACUCAGUGAAAUCGAAAUCGCAGUGAAGAUGCUGUGUACCCGCGGCUAGACGGAAAGACCCCGUGAACCUUUACUACAGCUUUACAUUGAACUUUGACCUUACCUGUGUAGGAUAGGUGGGAGGCUUUGAAGCAGGCACGCCAGUGUCUGUGGAGCCAUCCUUGAAAUACCACCCUGGUAAUGUUGGGGUUCUAACUCAAGCUUAACAGAGCUGAGGACAAUGUAUGGUGGGUAGUUU